CCUAGUAACGGCGAGUGAACAGGAAAAAGCUCAAAGUUGGAACCUGUUUGGCCUAGCUAAACCGGAUUGUAAACUGUAGAAGUGUUUUCCAGGCAAGCCGGACCGAUAAGUCCUUUGGAACAGGGCAUCAUAGAGGGUGAGAAUCCCGUCUUCGGUCUGAGCAUUUGCCUUUUGCGAUACACUUUCAAAGAGUCAGGUUGUUUGGGAAUGCAGCCUAAAUUGGGUGGUAAAUCUCACCUAAAGCUAAAUAUUGGCGAGAAACCGAUAGCGAACAAGUACCGUGAGGGAAAGAUGAAAAGAACUUUGAAAAGAGAGUUAAACAGUAUGUGAAAUUGUUAAAAGGGAACCGUUUGGAGCCAGACUGGCUUGUCUGUAAUCAGUCUAAGUUUCGGCUUGGAUGCACUUGCAGGCUAUGCCUGCCAACGACAAUUUGGCUUGAGGGAAAAAACUAGGGGAAAUGUGGCCCAUUCGUGGGUGUUAUAGUCCCUUAGAAAAUACCUUGGGCUGGAUUGAGGUACGCAGCGAAUGCUAUUUGGCGAGUUGGCUGGGAAUAUUUUCUGAGGUGCUCUGGUACUGAGGUUGAUAUUUCCAGUUACACUUCUAU
rnacentral:rRNA from 2 species